AGUGAAUAGAUACCCUGGUAGUCCAUGCCCUAAACGACUGAUUACUCGAUGUGUGCGACAUACUGUACGCGUCUGAGCGAAAGCAUUAAGUAAUCCACCUGGGGAGUACGGCCGCAAGGCUGAAACUCAAAGGAAUUGACGGGGGCCCGCACAAGCGGAGGAGCAUGUGGUUUAAUUCGAUGAUACGCGCGGAACCUUACCAGGGCUUGAAAGUUAAGGAAUGAUGUAGAAAUAUGUCAGUCAGCAAUGACCUAAAACUAGGUGCUGCAUGGCUGUCGUCAGCUCGUGCCGUGAGGUGUUGGGUUUAAGUCCCGCAACGAGCGCAACCCCUAUCAUUAGUUGCCAACAGGUUAAGCUGGGGACUCUAAUGAGACUGCCCGCGCAAGCGGUGAGGAAGUGGGGAUGACGUCAAGUCAUCACGGCCCUUACGGUCCUGGGCUACACACGUGCUACAAUGGCCGGUACAGAAAGCAGCUACACAGUAAUGUGAUGCUAAUCUCCAAAGCCGGU
rnacentral:rRNA from 1 species